UUGGGGAGAAGGUUCUUCAGUCUACUGGAGCCUUCUUUGACUGAGCACAUGGGAAAUUAUGGCCUUCUGGACUGAUCCUAUAUCGACGACCCUUUUCCAAUGGAUGUGGGAGUUUGAAAGCCCAGCUCCCUGGACUCAGGUGUUACUGUUCAAAUUCCCAUCUUAUGGAUGAUGAAUCAGAAACACAAAAAGGUGACAAGUAACAAGGACUUGCUGAGUGUUGUUAUUGACAAAUGGAUGAACUCCGUGUGCUGCUGCUGGCUUCCUACCCUGAACUCAAAUCUGAAGAUGCUAUGGGUUGGGGGUUGCCUCCAACACCAGAAGUAGGCUGCAGGACCAGUGUAUGAUGUGUUAUUUAUGGCUGAAGCCUUGAAGACCAUUGAGAAGACCUCUGCCUCCAGUGCAGCACAGGGGACUCUACUCAAUGCUCUGUGGUGACCUAAAUGGGAAGGAAAUCCGAAACUACGCCGAUUCUUAAG